rnacentral:rRNA from 1 species
UACGGAGGAUGCAAGCGUUAUCCGGAAUGAUUGGGCGUAAAGCGUCCGCAGGUGGCUAUGUAAGUCUGCUGUUAAAGAGUGAGGCUCAACCUCAUAAAAGCAGUGGAAACUACAUGGCUAGAGUGCGUUCGGGGCAGAUGGAAUUCCGGGUGUAGCGGUGGAAUGCGUAGAGAUCCGGAAGAACACCGGUGGCGAAGGCGGUCUGCUGGGGUAAUGCUGACACUGAUGCGCGACAGCGUGGGGAGCAAACAGG